GCCUCGGCCUCCCAGAGUGCUAGGAUUACAGGCGUGAGCCCCCACGCCCAGCCUGAAGAAGCAUUCUUGUUUUGGCAGUGUUUUUCUGGAACUCCUAGAGAAAGUCGUAUUCAUCCUUGGCCCUGAGAAAGGAUGGUAAUAGCCUUGGGGACAGGCCUGUCUGUGCAGGUGCCUGCCUGUUUUUAGUUGCUGGUAUCACUGAUUGUGGUAUUUUUGCCAUCAUGUAGAGGAAAUCAGGCCCCUUCUAGACCUCAGGGUCGUCUCCUUCAAUGGUACCUAGUGUCAUGCCAUCCUGGGCCCUUGUGGAUUGUGAGAGUUGUGUGUGCCUUAGGGAGGGUGACUGUUCUAACCAGGGGUUACUAGAACGGGCACACCCACCUUGACCUGCUUUGGACCUCUUCUUCCUGCAGCUUGGCCCAGGAUGGGACCUUGAAUUUCACUCCUUCCCACUGUGAGUUAGGCCCCAUGAGCCCUCUCUUCACAACCUCAUAGUUCCCUUGGGUGAGCUGCUCAAAGGCUGAUGUCACUGUUGCUUUUGGCUGAAAUCUCAACAUAGCGAGUCCCUAAGGAAGCAGCCAGCUUCUUCCCCUUCUCCGGCAUCACUCGGUACUCAGCCACCAGGUCUCUCUUGUAGCCUACCACCAAGAUGAGGAUAUUGAAGGGUUUCACUUUCUCCAGAACCUCCCGAUACCACCAGGCAACGCUCUCAAAGGAUGUUCUGUUGGUGAUAUCAAACAGCAGGAGGCCUUCAGCCGAGUUCUGAUAAUAGGAGAAGGUCUCUGACUUCGGCAGCCAAGAAGGAAUCCAGAGUUAGUUUUGAGUUCUCCGUUGAGGACAUAAGAAACGAAGGGAAUUGGGAAGUUUGCUGGAAAGAGCUGGGGUAGAGUCAGAAGACCUCAGUUCUUGAUCAGCUGUGUGACAGUUGUGUUCAAUGAAGAUUCCAGGAUGACUGAAGUUGAUUUUCUUCGGGUGUGAGGACUCCAGAGAUCAUGACAGUGAUGAGACACAAUCUCAGGACACCUGGGUUGCCCCCGAGUUUCCCGGCAGCAUCUGAUACUGAAAAGACCAGCAUGUUUCCCAGCUGUGCUUUAAGGUUAGCAGUAAAGCUGUCUUCACCUGUGAUUAUGGAGCUACUGAGUUGGGAGAAUUGCUAUGGGAAGAGGCGGACAAAAAGACAACAGGUUAUUUCAGGUGGAAACUGAACUCCAAGCACAGGUGUUUUUUGUUUUUUUUUUGUU